rnacentral:rRNA from 1 species
GAAACUCUGAUGCAGCCAUGCCGCGUGCAGGAUGAAUGCCCUAUGGGUUGUAAACUAGCUUUUAUACAAGAAGAAACAUGNGGUACGUGUACCGACUUGACGGUAUUGUAUGAAUAAGCACCGGCU